rnacentral:rRNA from 1 species
GACGAACGCUGGCGGCGUGCCUAAUACAUGCAAGUAGGACGCUGAAGGAGGAGCUUGCUUCUCUGGAUGAGUUGCGAACGGGUGAGUAACGCGUAGGUAACCUGCCUGGUAGCGGGGGAUAACUAUUGGAAACGAUAGCUAAUACCGCAUAAUAGUAGAUGUUGCAUGACAUUUACUUAAAAGGUGCAAUUGCAUCACUACCAGAUGGACCUGCGUUGUAUUAGCUAGUUGGUGGGGUAACGGCUCACCAAGGCGACGAUACAUAGCCGACCUGAGAGGGUGAUCGGCCACACUGGGACUGAGACACGGCCCAGACUCCUACGGGAGGCAGCAGUAGGGAAUCUUCGGCAAUGGACGGAAGUCUGACCGAGCAACGCCGCGUGAGUGAAGAAGGUUUUCGGAUCGUAAAGCUCUGUUGUAAGAGAAGAACGAGUGUGAGAGUGGAAAGUUCACACUGUGACGGUAUCUUACCAGAAAGGGACGGCUAACUACGUGCCAGCAGCCGCGGUAAUACGUAGGUCCCGAGCGUUGUCCGGAUUUAUUGGGCGUAAAGCGAGCGCAGGCGGUUAGAUAAGUCUGAAGUUAAAGGCUGUGGCUUAACCAUAGUACGCUUUGGAAACUGUUUAACUUGAGUGCAAGAGGGGAGAGUGGAAUUCCAUGUGUAGCGGUGAAAUGCGUAGAUAUAUGGAGGAACACCGGUGGCGAAAGCGGCUCUCUGGCUUGUAACUGACGCUGAGGCUCGAAAGCGUGGGGAGCAAACAGG